rnacentral:lncRNA from 1 species
UUGCCAUUGUUACUGUUUAGUCUCUGUCAAUGGUAUCACCAGAUUCAUAAUUCUUCGAUCUACAUGACGGUAAUACAAUCUUCGGGAAGAAAUAAUCUUAUGGUAGCAAAGAUUUUACCUAAACAUUGACAGUCUAAUAACUCCACUGAUAAACGAUGGCUCUUUUGCAAGACCACCAUCAUAUUUCAGGUCGCCAUAAGUCGAUAAUGUUGAUGGAAUUGGCGGUGCACCAAACUAAUUCUCCGUUUAAUGGUGGCAUUUUAAGCCCCUGCUCCUUGUUGUAAUUUUUGCCACCAUGUGACCUAUUUUGUCGAAAAAUGUUGUACUAAUAUGUAGAUCAAGAAGUUUGAAUCCAAUGAUACCUGAAA